UACGAAGGGGGCUAGCGUUGUUCGGAAUUACUGGGCGUAAAGGGCGCGUAGGCGGCCAUCUAAGUCAGACGUGAAAUCCCCCGGCUUAACCUGGGAACUGCGUCUGAUACUGGACGGCUUGAGUAUGGGAGAGGGAUGUAGAAUUCCAGGUGUAGCGGUGAAAUGCGUAGAGAUCCGGAAGAACACCAGUGGCGAAGGCGACUCUUGCCUGUAACUGACACUGAGGCGCGAAAGCGUGGGGAGCAAACAGG
rnacentral:rRNA from 1 species